GACGAACGCUGGCGGCGUGCUUAACACAUGCAAGUCGUACGGUAAGGCCCUUUCUGGGGUACACGAGUGGCGAACGGGUGAGUAACACGUGAGUAACCUGCCCACAACUUUGGGAUAACGCUAGGAAACUGGUGCUAAUACUGGAUAUGUGCUCCUGCUGCAUGGUGGGGGUUGGAAAGCUCCGGCGGUUGUGGAUGGACUCGCGGCCUAUCAGCUUGUUGGUGGGGUAGUGGCCUACCAAGGCGGCGACGGGUAGCCGGCCUGAGAGGGUGACCGGCCACAUUGGGACUGAGAUACGGCCCAGACUCCUACGGGAGGCAGCAGUGGGGAAUAUUGCACAAUGGGCGCAAGCCUGAUGCAGCAACGCCGCGUGCGGGAUGACGGCCUUCGGGUUGUAAACCGCUUUCAGCAGGGACGAAGCUUUUUGUGACGGUACCUGCAGAAGAAGCACCGGCUAACUACGUG
rnacentral:rRNA from 1 species